rnacentral:rRNA from 1 species
GAGUUUGAUCUUGGCUCAGAUUGAACGCUGGCGGCAGGCCUAACACAUGCAAGUCGAGCGGUAGAGAGAAGCUUGCUUCUCUUGAGAGCGGCGGACGGGUGAGUAAUGCCUAGGAAUCUGCCUGGUAGUGGGGGAUAACGCUCGGAAACGGACGCUAAUACCGCAUACGUCCUACGGGAGAAAGCAGGGGACCUUCGGGCCUUGCGCUAUCAGAUGAGCCUAGGUCGGAUUAGCUAGUUGGUGAGGUAAUGGCUCACCAAGGCGACGAUCCGUAACUGGUCUGAGAGGAUGGUCAGUCACACUGGAACUGAGACACGGUCCAGACUCCUACGGGAGGCAGCAGUGGGGAAUAUUGGACAAUGGGCGAAAGCCUGAUCCAGCCAUGCCGCGUGUGUGAAGAAGGUCUUUCGGGAUUGUAAAGCACUUUAAGUUGGGAGGAAGGGCA